rnacentral:rRNA from 1 species
UACGUAUGGGGCGAGCGUUAUCCGGAAUCAUUGGGCGUAAAGCGCGCGUAGGCGGCCGGGCAAGCGGGGCGUCAAAUCCCGGGGCUCAACCCCGGGCCGCGCCCCGAACUGCCCGGAUCGAGUUGGGUAGGGGAAGGCGGAAUUCCCGGUGUAGCGGUGAAAUGCGCAGAUAUCGGGAAGAACACCGGUGGCGAAGGCGGCCUUCUGGGCCCUAACUGACGCUGAGGCGCGAAAGCCGGGGGAGC